rnacentral:lncRNA from 1 species
GGGGGAGGUACGGAAAGCGGAAGUUCCUGAGAACCUGGUUGUUCCUGUGAACCGCACCUCCCAGCUUUAAUACCCUGUUACUUCUUGGGCUCCUGGACUUAGAUUCCAAGUGUAGAAAAAGGGGAACUUCCAGCACAUGUUGUGCUCUUGAGGACACAAUGGAAGUUUAGCGAAACCGGUGGCUCUACAUUGGGGACUUAGUUCCAUACCCAGAAGAAAUAAACCAGCGCAUCCUUCUUUAAUCUAA